UACGUAGGGUGCAAGCGUUAAUCGGAAUUACUGGGCGUAAAGCGUGCGCAGGCGGUUUGGUAGGACAGAUGUGAAAUCCCCGGGCUUAACCUGGGAAUUGCAUUUGUGACUGCCCGGCUAGAGUGUAUCAGAGGGGGGUAGAAUUCCACGUGUAGCAGUGAAAUGCGUAGAUAUGUGGAGGAAUACCGAUGGCGAAGGCAGCCCCCUGGGAUAACACUGACGCUCAUGCACGAAAGCGUGGGGAGCAAACAGG
rnacentral:rRNA from 1 species